rnacentral:ncRNA from 1 species
AUUAUUACAUGGAUAAGAUGAGUAGAAAAAAGGAUUUACACCAGAGAGUCUCGGUAGCUGAAAAGAGAUUAAUGAGUUUUUUUGAAGAUGGUCUUUGAGUUUUAAUUAUCGAGCAGCUGUUAGAUAAUUACGCAGAAAAUAGCGUUAAAAUUUUAAUGAGGUGGAAAACUAAAAAAUUCAUUUUAUCAUUUUAGAUUUUCCAUAAAAUAAGGUGGUACCACGUAUAAAACGCACGUCCUUAGA